GGUUGACCUCGGAUCAGGUAGGGAUACCCGCUGAACUUAAGCAUAUCAAUAAGCGGAGGAAAAGAAACCAACCGGGAUUGCCCCAGUAACGGCGAGUGAAGCGGCAAGAGCUCAAAUUUGAAAUCUGGCCCCUCCGGGGUCCGAGUUGUAAUUUGCAGAGGAUGCUUCGGGUGCGGCCCCCGUCUAAGUGCCCUGGAACGGGCCGUCAGAGAGGGUGAGAAUCCCGUCUUGGGCGGGGUGUCCGUGCCCGUGUGAAGCUCCUUCGACGAGUCGAGUUGUUUGGGAAUGCAGCUCUAAAUGGGUGGUAAAUUUCAUCUAAAGCUAAAUACUGGCCGGAGACCGAUAGCGCACAAGUAGAGUGAUCGAAAGAUGAAAAGCACUUUGAAAAGAGAGUUAAACAGCACGUGAAAUUGUUGAAAGGGAAGCGCUUGCGACCAGACUCGCCCGCGGGGUUCAGCCGGCACUCGUGCCGGUGUACUUCCCCGUGGGCGGGCCAGCGUCGGUUUGGGCGGCCGGUCAAAGGCCUCCGGAAUGUAUCGCCCUCCGGGGCGUCUUAUAGCCGGGGGUGCAAUGCGGCCAGCCCGGACCGAGGAACGCGCUUCGGCACGGACGCUGGCAUAAUGGUCGUAAACGACC
rnacentral:rRNA from 1 species